rnacentral:tRNA from 1 species
UUAAAAUUAGUUAAAGUAUAAUAUUAAAAUGUCAUUUUAAAGUUAUUAAAAUUUAAUAUUUUUAU